GAUGAACGCUGGCGGCGUGCCUAAUACAUGCAAGUCGAGCGAACAGACGAGGAGCUUUCUCCUCUGACGUUAGCGGCGGACGGGUGAGUAACACGUGGAUAACCUACCUAUAAUACUGGGAUAACUUCGGGAAACCGGAGCUAAUACCGGAUAAUAUAUUGAACCGCAUGGUUCAAUAGUGAAAGACGGUUUUGCUGUCACUUAUAGAUGGAUCCGCGCCGCAUUAGCUAGUUGGUAAGGUAACGGCCUACCAAGGCAACGAUGCGGAGCUGACCUGAGAGGGUGAUAAGCCACACUGGAACUGAGACACGGUCCAGACUCCUACGGGAGGCAGCAGUGGGGAAUAUUGGACAAUGGGCGGAAGCCUGAACGAGCCAUACCGCGUGGGGGAAGAAGGCCUUCGGGUUGUAAAACCCUUUUGUUGGGAAAGAAAAAAAGCAGGAUAAUACCCCGCUGUUCUGACGGUACCCAAAGAAUAAGCACCGGCUAACUUCGUG
rnacentral:rRNA from 1 species